CGAGGAAUAUUGCACAAUGGACGCAAGUCUGAUGCAGUAACGCCGCGUGGGGGAAGAAGACCUUCGGGUUGUAAACCUCUUUUAUAUAGGACGAGUGAGGACGGUACUAUAGGAAUAAGUCUCGGCUAACUACGUGCCAGCAGCCGCGGUAAGACGUAGGAGGCGAGCGUUAUCCGGAUUCACUGGGCGUAAAGCGCAUGUAGGCGGUUUGUUAAGUCCGGUGUUAAAGCCCCUGGCUCAACUGGGGGAGGUCAUUGGAGACUAACAGACUUGAGGGCAACAGAGGCACGUGGAACUCCCGGUGUAGCGGUGGAAUGCGUAGAGAUCGGGAAGAACACCAGUGGCGAAGGCGACGUGCUGGGUUGCAACUGACGCUGAGAUGCGAAAGUGUGGGGAGCAAACGGG
rnacentral:rRNA from 1 species